AUGGACCGGUCCUGCUACUUCCCGCUGCGGUGGGAGAGCACCGGCGACCAGUGGUGGUACGCCUCGCCCAUCGACUGCGCGGCGGCCGAUGGCCACUACGACAUCGUCCGCCAGCUGCUGCACCUUGACCCCAACCUGCUCAUCAAGCUCACCUCGCUCCGCCGGAUCCGCCGUCUCGAGGCGCUCUGGGACGACGACGCCCGCUUCGUGCACGCGCCCCGCCACCGCGCCUCCGUCGCCCGGGGCCUGCUGCUGGAGUGCGAGUGCAAGCACGGCGCCGAGAACACGCUGCUCCGGGCCGGCUACGGCGGCUGGCUGCUCUACACGGCGGCCUCGGCGGGGGACGCGGGCUUCGUGCAGGAGCUGCUGGACAGGGACCCGCUGCUCGUCUUCGGCGAGGGCGAGUACGGCGUCACGGACAUGUUCUACGCGGCGGCGAGGGGCGGCAACGCCGACCUGUUCAGGAUGCUGCUGGACCACGCCAUGUCCCCGAGGUGCUCGACGUAUGGUCGCGACGGGGAUAGCACUGGCGCCGGCGCCGGUGACCGCGCCUCGGUGUUCCGGCUGGAGAUGAUGAGCAGGGCUGUACACGCUGCCGCGAGAGGAGGGAGCGUGCGGAUGCUGAAGGAGCUCAUCGACGGUCGCUCCGACGUGUCGGCGUAUCUUGAUAUCCGUGGAUCCACCGUGCUUCAUGCAGCUGCUGGGAGAGGGCAGCUCGAGGUUGUCACGUACCUGAUGGCCUCUUUCGACAUGAUCAACUCAACCGACAACCAAGGGAACACUGCACUACAUGUAGCGGCCUACCGAGGGCAUCUGCCCGUUGUAAACGCACUGGUUGCUGCAUCUCCAUCAGCCAUAUCAGCUGUCAACAAUGCAGGUGAUACGUUCCUCCACUCGGCGAUCGCAGGGUUCAGAACCCCGGGGUUCCGUCGGCUCGACCGGCAGCUGGAGCUCACCAAGCAUCUCAUUCGAGAGAGAGCCGCAGACAUCCGGAAGAUCAUCAACCUGAGAAACGACACGGGCCUUACCGCCCUGCACAUGGCUGUGAUUGGCUGCGUGCAUCCGGACCUCGUCGAGCUCCUGAUGACCACGCCGUCCAUCGACCUUAAUGUCGAAGACGCUGACGGCACGACCCCGCUGGCGCUGCUCAAGGAGCAGCUGCGAUCAACCACGUCGGAGAGGCUCAUCAAGCAGAUAGUCUCCGCCGGAGGGGUGCUGAGCUCGAGCGUGCUGAGAAGCCGGUCGGCCGUCGUUUCGCAGAUAAAGAUGCGGGGAGGGAUCGCGAUCAGUCCGGGCACCAUGUUCAAGAUAUCGGAUGCGGAGAUAUUGUUGCACUCGGGCAUUGCGGCGACGGAGUCCCGAAGGGCUAGCUCGUGCUCUAGCGAUGGCAAGUGUGACCCUGUACAUGCGGAUGCAAACGGCGAAGGUGACGAGAACCAUGGAUCGUCGGAGAAGAGGCUCAGCUCUGCCGGCCGAGCCAAGGACCGUCUCAAGAUGAUGCUGCGCUGGCCUCGCCACAGGGAGAAGAUGUCCAGGACGCCGAGGAAAUCCGAGGACGGCGGCCCGCUGGACACCAUCAAGAAGCUGAACAGUCAUGUCGCCGACACCCCGACUCCGCUCAGGCAGGCCUUCACCAAGACGACGGCGCUCAACAACAAGCGCACGCUCGCCGUCAAAAGCUCCGCCCCCAGCUCGGCCAGCAAGAAGAAGCUCAUCCACGGCAUCAUGGAGGCCAUGCCGCACCUCGCGGCGCCAUCGGCAUCAACCCAGUCCCCGCCGAGCACGCUCCCGAGGUCCUCCAUGUCCUCCGCGCCGACGUCCACCAAGCUCAAGGACAUCUGCUUCGAAGAAGAGGAGAGCACGACGGUGACGCCGCCGUUCGGCAAGCUCAAGGACAUCAUCCUGGACAACGACGACGGCGCGGACGACCCGUCGUGCUCGAACUCGUCCUUCGCCGACGAGGGGGUCGUCGGCGUGGCCGCCCGGAGGAACCACGGGUGCGGGAACGGGAGGCUCAUCAACAUCUGCUUCGGCGCGCAGGGGCUCACGGUGGAAGACUCUGCCAGCGGGCAGCCGACGAGCAAGAUGUUCAAGCAGCAGUGCCUCCGGGUGUCCUGA
rnacentral:rRNA from 1 species